rnacentral:rRNA from 1 species
GAUGAACGCUGGCGGCGUGCUUAACACAUGCAAGUCGAACGGUUAAGGCGGAGCUUGCUCUGCUGUCUCAGUGGCGAACGUGUGUGUAACACGUGAGCAAGCUUCCCCUUACGCUGGGAUAAGCGCUGGAAACGGCGUCUACUACUGAAUACGAGCGGGAGAGGCAUCUGCAGCAGCUGGCAAGACGGUCGGUGAGGAGUGAGGGCGGGGCCUAUCAGCUUGUUGGUGAGGUACUGGCUCACCACGGCGUCGAUGAGUAGUCAGACUGGGAGGGUGACCGGCUCCAGUGGCCUAGAGACAGGGCCCAGAGUCAAACGGGGGGCAGGGGUGGGAAUAUUGCACAAUGGGGGAACGUGUGAUACAGAAACGCCGGGAGUGGGAAGACGGCUUUGGGGUUGUAAACGUCUUUUAGCUAAGAAGAAGCGAUAGUGACGGUACCUGCAGAAAAAGCGCCGGCUAACUACGUG